rnacentral:misc_RNA from 1 species
AUCGAUUGCUAAGCUCAAUCACAAGUCACAACCAACAGACAAUUAUGUAAUCAUAAGCCUCCAAAAGAAUUGACAGCACCAACUGCAACUUUAAACCAGUAAGCAGCCAAUGAUGCCACUUAAGACUCACGAAACUAAAUGAAAAAACAUAAACCCACCAAAACUAAUUACAUACCAGACUUUCACUACCCUAUGCUAAACUAUUUUGCUUGCUUGAGCAAAUUAAACUGCUUCUUACGCUACCACAGCUAAUAAACAUGAAAAGCACAGCAACUAUUAGAUAGAACAGAACAGAAAUUUAUCCAAACAGGUAAAAAUACCUUGCAACUAGUUACCAAAUCCA